rnacentral:rRNA from 1 species
AUUGAACGCUGGCGGCAUGCCUUACACAUGCAAGUCGAACGGUAACGGGCCUUCGGGUGCCGACGAGUGGCGAACGGGUGAGUAAUGCAUCGGAACGUACCUUUCAGUGGGGGAUAACGUAGCGGAAGUUACGCUAAUACCGCAUAUUCUGUGAGCAGGAAAGCAGGGGAUCGCAAGACCUUGCGCUGAUUGAGCGGCCGAUAUCAGAUUAGCUAGUUGGUGAGGUAAAGGCUCACCAAGGCGACGAUCUGUAGCGGGUCUGAGAGGAUGAUCCGCCACACUGGAACUGAGACACGGUCCAGACUCCUACGGGAGGCAGCAGUGGGGAAUUUUGGACAAUGGGGGCAACCCUGAUCCAGCCAUGCCGCGUGAGUGAAGAAGGCCUUCGGGUUGUAAAGCUCUUUCGGCCGGGAAGAAAUCGUAUCAGCUAAUACCUGGUGCGGAUGACGGUACCGGCAUAAGAAGCACCGGCUAACUACGUGCCGGCCGCCGCCGUAACAC